rnacentral:tmRNA from 1 species
GGGGCCGACCUGGUUUCGACAGCGGCUUCGUGAUGUGUGUAAGCAUGCCGGGCGUGAUGUGCGGCCCGUAUCCCAGUGCAUCGACGCCAUAACUGGCGAAGUAGACUACGCUCUCGCUGCUUAAUAGCCCAAGGCUAUGAGGCUUAAUCCACGUGAACAACAGUAGCGUGGACGAGUACCCCUCGGGGAGGCCCGUGAUCCUCCUUCCCGGCCCAGGGGUGUCAUCCUGGAGAACUGGCCUGUGCGGUGGUCCGGAGCACAGGUGAGAAACAGGACCUAAGCCUUGUGUGGGGUGCCCUUCCCCAGCGCAUGGUCGAAAACCAAUGAAGCGGCUACGCAUGUAGAAAGCCCAUGUUGCGGUCGUUUGGACGGCGGUUCGAUCCCGCCCGGCUCCACCC